UACGGGAGGCAGCAGUGGGGAAUAUUGGACAAUGGGGGCAACCCUGAUCCAGCCAUGCCGCGUGUGUGAAGAAGGCUUUCGGGUUGUAAAGCACUUUCAGCGAGGAGGAAGGCCUUAAAGUUAAUACCUUUAAGGAUUGAC
rnacentral:rRNA from 1 species